UUUAUGUAAAUGAAUGUUUUACUGUUGUUGUGAAGGUGCAGUGCUUAUCGCGGGUGACAGUCGGUGUUAAUGCGCGGGUUGAGUGCGUCUCGUCGGCCAUUUUGCGGUUGCUGUCAGCGCGAUGUGUGGUCCCGUCCACUAGGCGGCGUGCGUGUCGCGUUGUCUCACGUGUGCCAGGGUACCCGCGUGCAACGCGACCGCCCCAACAUGUGGCUGGGGUCGCGUGGGCCCGGUGCGACGGCCGGCGGCGUCCAGCGACGUCGCUCGGCCUCUGGACUGGCCGCGCUACUGACGUGACUCGCCUCGACGACUCGCGACCAGACAAACGCGCAUAUCCAUAAUGGGGGACUUUAUUUUGAACUCUGGAUUAUGUGGUAAAUGACGAAUUAACGUAAAUAAAUGUUAAGACAACUAACAAUAUGACUUGAUGAUAUUAUUAUAGUUGUUUAUUAAUCUCCUAUCCUAUGGCCAUUCAUCAAACGACGUCGUGUUAAAAAUUCCCAUCGCGUCAUUCGUCGAACUUUUAAACAUUGCACGCAUUGACAACCUCUUUAGUUACAUAUAACAUCUUUAUAGCGGUAUAUUUGCAUGUAGUUGUAAGUUAAGUUCAUAGUG